rnacentral:rRNA from 1 species
CAGCCGCCGCGGUAAUUCAGGGGGGGCAAGCGUUGUUCGGAAUUACUGAGCGUAAAGAGUGUGUAGGCGGUUCUCUAUGUUCGGUGUGAAAUCUCCCGGCUUAACUGGGAGGGUGCGCCGAAAACUGGAGGGCUUGAGUAUGGGAGAGGAAAGCGGAAUUCCUGGUGUAGCGGUGAAAUGCGUAGAUAUCAGGAGGAACACCUGCGGUGUAGACGGCUUUCUGGACCAUCACUGACGCUGAGACACGAAAGCGUGGGUAGCAAACAGGAUUAGAUACCCUGGUAGUCCACGCCCUAAACGAUGCAUACUUGGUGUGAGCCGUUCAUUCGGUUCGUGCCGGAGCUAACGCGUUAAGUAUGCCAGCUGGGGAGUACGGCCCCAGGCUGAAACUCAAGGAAUUGACGG